CGCGUAGGCGGCCAUGGAAGUCGGGUGUGAAAGCCCGGAGCUCAACUCCGGAACGGCACUCGAAACUUUAUGGCUGGAGGUCGGAAGAGGAGAGUGGAAUACCCAGUGUAGAGGUGAAAUUCGUAGAUAUUGGGUGGAACACCAGUGGCGAAAGCGGCUCUCUGGUCCGAACCUGACGCUGAGGCGCGAAAGCGUGGGGAGCAAACA
rnacentral:rRNA from 1 species